AUACAUGCAGUCGAGCGAACUGAUGAGAAGCUUGCUUCUCUGAUGUUAGCGGCGGACGGGUGUAGUAACACGUGGGCAACCUGCCCUAUAGUUGGGGAUAACUCCGGGAAACCGGGGCUAAUACCGAAUGAUUCAUUUCAUCUCCUGAUGAAAUGCUGAAAGAUGGUUCUGCUAUCGCUAUAGGAUGGGCCCGCGGNNAUUAGCUAGUUGGUGAGGUAACGGCUCACCAAGGCGACGAUGCGUAGCNAACCUGAGAGGGUGAUCGGCCACACUGGGACUGAGACACGGCCCAGACUCCUACGGGAGGCAGCAGUAGGGAAUCUUCCACAAUGGGCG
rnacentral:rRNA from 1 species